UUUAUGUUAUAUGUAUUUCACCUCAAUAAAAAAGACACACGUGGGGAGUUCAGCAGGUUAAGGAUCCCGUGGGACGUGGUUCCCCUGAGAAGCCUCCGCAGGUUGAGGGCCCGGGGCCAUCGCGCUAUUUUAAUGUUUGCACAACGUUCAGUCACCUGGAUGCCCCUCGAUUCGCGUUGUCAGGCGCCUCUCGAUGGGCAUCUAGGAUGUGCCAACGUCUCUCUAACGAGGCUGUGCGAGUGACCAGCUACAUCCACGCCUGGCCUUAAUCAUUAACUUUGGACAGGCUCCCACAGUGACAUUUCUGGGUCAAAGGCUUUUCUUUUUGCUUUUUUUAGGGCUGCGUCUGCGGCCUAUGGACGUUCCCCGGCUAGGGGUCGAAUUGGAGCUGCAGCCACUGGCCUACACCACAGCCGCAGCAGCGCGGGAUCCAAGAUGCAGCGGCUUUCCAGGAUAAAGCCGCACGGACCUCCGCCCCGGGGGGAGCUGAGGAAGAGCCACAGCCCCCCCCCCCCCCCGCUUGUCAGGCGCGGCUGCUGAUGGGGGUGGGCAGCCCGAACCGUGAGGACGGGCAGGGGUGCCGUGCUGGGGGGCUUCGGCCUCCUGCCUGCUUCCCUCCUCCCAUCUGGGCUGCAGACUGCCCUUCUCAGCGACCCCACCCUCACCCCGCCUUCCUCUUUCAGCCCCCACAAUGCAUCUGCUCCCUGCUGCCUCAGAGCCUUUGCCAACGCGGCCUUCCCUCCCUCGGCCAGGGGCUCCACCCACGUCCCUCCCCUCCCCUUUGCGUGGGUCCCAGCCCACGCGCCCCUCCCGCAGAGGCCCUCCUGACCUGAUGCCGGCUUCCCAUCGCCCCCGACCCCCACUCCCUUCGGCCAUCAGCGCUGGGCCCUCCAUGGGCCCUUGAGGCCCUGCUGCUGGGCUGGGCCUGCCUGUGUCCGGUCCUGAUGGCUGCUGGAUCCUCACCCCAGCCCGGGGCUGGGCGUGCAGGCACCUGUGAGCAUGUGCGCGAGUGCACGUGCGCGCGCACGCACACACACACACACACACACACACACACAGAGCCCAGGGGAGCUGACUGAACACGCGGCCUGGGAACACUGGCCAUGAGGGUGCAGGCUCAGGCCACGCACGACCCUGCGGCCCUCCGUGCUGCUGAGUCCACAGCGUCCUCUGCCCCCCCACCCCCCGAGGCCGGCUGGACCUGGGCCCAGACCAGGACCUUGCAGGACAGUGACUGCUUCCUUGCUCAGGGAGCUCUGGUUCCAGGGGUGAGGAUAAGAAUGCUCUUUUGGGGGGCUACCAUGCAGCCCACUGCGGGUUGGUGCUAUAGACACGAGGGACCUGCCUACUGCAAAAACAAAACCAAACCAGAUUCUGGAAUCUGAGAAGCGGAAGUCGCCCGAGGCCUCCUCUUAUCGCUUGGAGCCGGUGAGUGGGGAGCAGGCAGGCAGGCCUGGCCCCAAAGGCAGAUGCCCGCAGCUGUGGCCUGAGCACUGGGCCACACCAGCCCGAGGCUAUGGCUGGGCCGAGCCCUUCCCUGCCUCCAGCUCUGCGGGGUCCCUCCUGGCACAGGCGUGGUCCCUCCCAGCCUCCGAUUUGGAUCCACGGGGCCCCCAUAGGUCAAGGGCAGGAUCAGACUGCAAGCAUGUGGGUGGAGGGGACCGAGGAAGAUCCCGGGACCCGGGGACUCGGGACUGGUCAGAGUAGCGACGUGUAAGUGCAAAGGACAGGAGGGAGGGGUCCCCGCCCGCCCAGGGCUGCUCCUCCAGAAACACUGGUUGUCCACCUGCCCACGUGCAAAUCCCAGCCCCGCGCACAGCAUCUGCCUGGUGGGCUGAGCUCAUGGGGUUUUGGGCCCUUGGCCACGAUGCCCCCGUGUGGGUGGGCAUGGGGGCGGGAGGAGGUGGAGGAAGGGGGUGCCCAAGGGAGGUGGCCAGCCUGGUGCUGUCCCGGCCCCACCAGGGCUCCUGGGACGUGGAGAAGGUGCAGUCUGGCUUGCUGGCCUGUCCUCAUGCCUCAAGAUAGGUGGCUGGCAGCCCCUGAGUCCUGGCGCCCACCCCCUGCUGGCCAGGGAUGCCCUCGCCACAUGGAACUGUUGCUGCCUCAGCUCAAGGCCCUGGUGCCCCCCAGGCCCUGGUGCAUGUGCUCAGCCCUUGUCAUUCCCUUUCCCAAAGACGGGGGUCCUGGAGGGCUGGGGACCCCAGACUCAAGGGCAAGUAGGGAGGCAGAGAAGCUUGAACGGGGGGGCGGGGGGGGGGCAGAACAGGCAGGCACAUCUCAUGGCUCGGGUUUCAGUUCAGCUGGUCGCUAAGAAGGAAUGGGCAGGCGCUCAAGGGAGUGCAGUUUCCACCCGGCCCUGCGUAGCCCAAGACACGCACAGCUGAGGAUUACGCUGGGGGCAGAGGCAGAGAGACACGUCCACAGAGAAAGGCAGCAUCAGACGUGGGAAGCCCAGGAGGGCUUCCUGGAGGAGGGGGCUCCAGAGCUGAGUCCUAAAGGAGGCGCCAGUCAGGAGUGGGACUCAAGCUGAGCCCGGGUUCGAUGUUCUCUAACUCAGAGUCAGAGGAGGGGACGACUGCCCGGACUACUGUCUGUCUGCAGUCAGGCCGCCGGGUCCGCUCUGGGCGAGGCCGACUGCCCAGUGGCUCUGCGGGACCAGCACCAGAUCAGCCACCAAAGGUUGGACGCCCCUGACGCCCGCGGUUCUUAGAAAGGAGAUCCCGCGCCCCUGGCCCGCUGCCUCCCAUCUCCCCACGACACCUCCAUGCCUCGCAGGCUCCAUGACUCUCCAUGACUCACGCGGGCUUCAGGAGCUUCCAAACCAACCAGAUUUACAGGUCUUGGGUUGCCCCAAAGGCUAUGAGCUUGCUGGGCUGGGUUAGGGGUGGGGAAGGCUGCACCCCCACUGCUUGGGCUAAGACCAGGACUGUGCUUUUUAAUUAUUAUUAAAAAUAAUAUUUUCAGAAGUUCCUGUCGUGGCUCAGAAGUAACAAACCUGACUAGUAUCCAUGACGAUGCGGG